CGUUGUUCGUGAAAUCUCACGGCUUAACUGUGAGCGUGCGGGCGAUACGGGCAGACCUGAGUACUGCAGGGGAGACUGGAAUUCCUGGUGUAGCGGUGGAAUGCGCAGAUAUCAGGAGGAACACCGGUGGCGAAGGCGGGUCUCUGGGCAGUAACUGACGCUGAGGAGCGAAAGCGUGGGGAGCGAACAGGAUUAGAUACCCUGGUAGUCCACGCCGUAAACGGUGGGUACUAGGUGUGGGUUUCCUUCCUUGGGAUCCGUGCCGUAGCUAACGCAUUAAGUACCCCGCCUGGGGAGUACGGCCGCAAGGCUAAAACUCAAAGAAAUUGACGGGGGCCCGCACAAGCGGCGGAGCAUGUGGAUUAAUUCGAUGCAACGCGAAGAACCUUACCUGGGUUUGACAUGCACAGGACGCCGGCAGAGAUGUCGGUUCCCUUGUGGCCUGUGUGCAGGUGGUGCAUGGCUGUCGUCAGCUCGUGUCGUGGGAUGUUGGGUUAAGUCCCGCAACGAGCGCAACCCUUGUCUCAUGUUGCCAGCGGGUAAUGCCGGGGACUCGUGAGAGACUGCCGGGGUCAACUCGGAGGAAGGUGGGGAUGACGUCAAGUCAUCAUGCCCCUUAUGUCCAGGGCUUCACACGUGCUACAAUGGCCGGUACAAAGGGCUGCGAUGCCGCGAGGUUAAGCGAAUCCUUUUAAAGCCGGUCUCAGUUCGGAUCGGGGUCUGCAACUCGACCCCGUGAAGUCG
rnacentral:rRNA from 1 species